rnacentral:lncRNA from 1 species
ACAAGUAAAAGUUAAGGAUGGAUCUGUGAAACAAGAUUCCAAGUCCACAACAGUUGGUGCAACAGCGACUGUGAAGUGUGAUAAAGGAUUUGAGCCAAAGAAAGAAACAAUAACCUGUCAGGCUUCAGGUGAAUGGGAAGACGCAGAAUGUGAAGAGAUAGAUUGUGGGUCUUUGAAAAAGGUCAAAGUUAAAGACGGAUCUGUGAAAGAAGAUUCUAAAUCUACAACAGUUGGUGCAACAGCGACUGUGAAGUGUGAUAAAGGAUUUGAGCCAAAGAAAGAAACAAUUACCUGUCAGGCUUCAGGUGAAUGGGAAGACGCAGAAUGUGAAGCCAUAGAUUGCGGGUCUCCGAAAAAGAUUGAUGACGGAUCUGUAAAGCUUGAUUCCAAAAAGACCACAGCUGGUUCAACAGCGACUGUGAAGUGUGAUAAGGGAUAUGAUCCAAGUGCAGAAACAAUUACUUGCCAGGAAUCCGGAAAGUGGGAAAAAGCAACCUGUACAA